rnacentral:piRNA from 1 species
UGGGAGGCCAAAGUUGGGAAGACCCAUAGA